ACAGAUUGGAUUUUAGAUACAAGGUAAAAAUAACAGUUUGUUUUCUUUCUUCUUUUAUAGAUUGGUGACUUUGGUCUUGCCCGGGAAUAUGGAUCACCUCUUAAACAAUACACACCAAUAGUUGUCACGUUAUGGUACAGAGCGCCCGAACUUUUACUAGGGUGUAAGGAAUAUGCCACAGCAAUAGACAUGUGGUCAGUCGGUUGUAUAUUUGCCGAAUUCCUGAUGAUGAAAGCGCUUUGGCCAGGGAAGUCCGAGAUCGAUGAAUUGAAUAGAAUAUUUAAGGACCUGGGAACUCCUAACGAGAAAAUCUGGCCAGGUGUCGGCGAGUUACCAGGAAUGAAGAAGUGUACGUUCACAGAUUAUCCCUACAACACCAUACGACAGAAGUUUGGUUCUUACUUC